rnacentral:rRNA from 1 species
AGAGUUUGAUCAUGGCUCAGAUUGAACGCUGGCGGCAUGCUUUACACAUGCAAGUCGAGCGGCAGCGCGGGGGCAACUCUGGCGGCGAGCGGCGAACGGGUGAGUAAUGCAUCGGAACGUGUCCCGGAGUGGGGGAUAACCCGGCGAAAGCCGGACUAAUACCGCAUAUGCUCUGAGGAGGAAAGUGGGGGACCUGAGAGGGCCUCAUGCUUUGGGAGCGGCCGAUGUCCGAUUAGCUAGUUGGUGGGGUAAAGGCUUACCAAGGCGACGAUCGGUAGCUGGUCUGAGAGGAUGAUCAGCCACACUGGGACUGAGACACGGCCCAGACUCCUACGGGAGGCAGCAGUGGGGAAUUUUGGACAAUGGGGGCAACCCUGAUCCAGCCAUGCCGCGUGCGGGAAGAAGGCCUUUGGGUUGUAAACCGCUUUUAGCUGGGAAGAAAAGACUCGGGCUAACACUCCGGGUUCUUGACGGUACCGGCGGAAUAAGCACCGGCUAACUACGUGCCAGCAGCCGCGGUAAUACGUAGGGUGCGAGCGUUAAUCGGAAUUACUGGGCGUAAAGCGUGCGCAGGCGGUUCGUUAAGUUUGUCGUGAAAGCCCCGGGCUCAACCUGGGAAUGGCGAUGAAAACUGGCGAGCUGGAGUGU